rnacentral:rRNA from 1 species
CCCUUAGAUGUCCUGGGCCGCACGCGCGCUACACUGACAUGUUCAACAAGCCUCCUAGUUCGACAGGAUUUGGGAAAUCUUUGAACGCAUGUCGUGAUAGGGAUAGAUCAUUGCAAUUAUUGAUCUUGAACGAGGAAUUCCUAGUAAACGCGAGUCAUCAGCUCGCAUUGAUUACGUCCCUGCCCUUUGUACACACCGCCCGUCGCACCUACCGAUUGAGUGGUCCGGUGAGGCUUUGGGAUCUGAGCGGAAAGAGCGUUUCGCUGUUUCUGCUCGGAAAACUCAGUCGAACCUUAUCAUUUAGAGGAAGGAGAAGUCGUAACA